GAACCGACUAAUGUUGAAAAAUUAGCGGAUGACUUGUGGCUGGGGGUGAAAGGCCAAUCAAACCGGGAGAUAGCUGGUUCUCCCCGAAAGCUAUUUAGGUAGCGCCUCGUGAAUUCAUCUCCGGGGGUAGAGCACUGUUUCGGCAAGGGGGUCAUCCCGACUUACCAACCCGAUGCAAACUGCGAAUACCGGAGAAUGUUAUCACGGGAGACACACGGCGGGUGCUAACGUCCGUCGUGAAGAGGGAAACAACCCAGACCGCCAGCUAAGGUCCCAAAGUCAUGGUUAAGUGGGAAACGAUGUGGGAAGGCCCAGACAGCCAGGAUGUUGGCUUAGAAGCAGCCAUCAUUUAAAGAAAGCGUAAUAGCUCACUGGUCGAGUCGGCCUGCGCGGAAGAUGUAACGGGGCUAAACCAUGCACCGAAGCUGCGGCAGCGACACUGUGUGUUGUUGGGUAGGGGAGCGUUCUGUAAGCCUGUGAAGGUGUACUGUGAGGUAUGCUGGAGGUAUCAGAAGUGCGAAUGCUGACAUAAGUAACGAUAAAGCGGGUGAAAAGCCCGCUCGCCGGAAGACCAAGGGUUCCUGUCCAACGUUAAUCGGGGCAGGGUGAGUCGACCCCUAAGGCGAGGCCGAAAGGCGUAGUCGAUGGGAAACAGGUUAAUAUUCCUGUACUUGGUGUUACUGCGAAGGGGGGACGGAGAAGGCUAUGUUGGCCGGGCGACGGUUGUCCCGGUUUAAGCGUGUAGGCUGGUUUUCCAGGCAAAUCCGGAAAAUCAAGGCUGAGGCGUGAUGACGAGGCACUACGGUGCUGAAGCAACAAAUGCCCUGCUUCCAGGAAAAGCCUCUAAGCAUCAGGUAACAUCAAAUCGUACCCCAAACCGACACAGGUGGUCAGGUAGAGAAUACCAAGGCGCUUGAGAGAACUCGGGUGAAGGAACUAGGCAAAAUGGUGCCGUAACUUCGGGAGAAGG
rnacentral:rRNA from 1 species